rnacentral:rRNA from 1 species
UACAGAGGUCUCAAGCGUUGUUCGGAUUCAUUGGGCGUAAAGGGUGCGUAGGCGGCGCGGUAAGUCGGGUGUGAAAUCUCGGGGCUUAACUCCGAAACUGCAUUCGAUACUGCCGUGCUUGAGGACUGGAGAGGAGACUGGAAUUUACGGUGUAGCGGUGAAAUGCGUAGAUAUCGUAAGGAAGACCAGUGGCGAAGGCGGGUCUCGUUGGACAGUUCCUGACGCUGAGGCACGAAGGUCAGGGGAGCAAACGGG